UUAUUCUUCCUUCAAACUGCAAUCAGGUUCUCUGCUUUGAGAUACAUGUAUGGAUAACAACAAUCCUUUACCAAAGAGGGAUAAAUAAAUGAAGAGAAAAUGAUAGUUGAGCAAGAAGAAGAAGAAGAAGAAGAAGACAAUGAUCGCUGAAGUGUGUAAACGGAAAUGGCUAAGUGGAAGAAUCACACCGCUCACAACCAGUCUUACAAGGCUCACAAGAAUGGCAUCAAGAAGCCAAAGAGACAUCGCCACAUUUCCAAUAAAGGGAUGGAUCCAAUUUUUUUGAGGAACCAGAGGUAUGCCAGGAAGCACAACAAGAAACAUUGGGAAGUUGUUUCUGAUGCAGAGUAAAGUUUUUGUAUUUUCAUCCCAGAUCAUGUCAAAUCUCGACUCUGAUAUUGUUUUGAAGGCUUCUUUAAAUGUGAAGUUGAAUAAAACAAGAGUUGGAAAUCCAUGGUUCUUUUUCGGUGG